CGCGGCACGGCCUGUGCGUUUACACUCCUCGAGGUAAAUUGCCUGCUUGAGCUAGAACCCCAAUUUACCCUCCCAGACCCUGCACACAUUAGCGGUUUAUUGGAUUUUAUUCUGUUGUAAAUACAACACAGCGAUAUGAUCAUGAGCAGUUCGAAUUGGAGAGAAAGUGAAAUCCGCAAGUUGCUGAUCAUGUGAGAGAAGGUGAUGCCGUCGUAUUAAACAAAGACAUUUGGUUGGUGUGAUCUACGAGAGAGACGCGGAGGAACUGUCCUUGCAAGGCUUUUGCCGGGAUAAAAAACAAGUGGUCAGCAAAAUAAAUAAUCUGUUUUUGCUCUUGUAAAUAGUUAAUCGCGUUUGUAGCCUACACUCAGACAUGAACUUAUUCUUGCAUGCGGGGGUAUUCCUUCAUAAAAACAUAAAAACAUUCGGGAGUAUGCAAAUUAUUCUAAAGAGGUCUAGACUCUGUGCGCAGCCCCGCUUUCUCCAGUGAACCAAGAAAGCCUGCACCGUGACGAAUGGGGGAUUU